GACGAACGCUGGCGGCGUGCUUAACACAUGCAAGUCGAACGGAAAGGCCCUGCUUUUGUGGGGUUCUCGAGUGGCGAACGGGUGAGUAACACGUGAGUAACCUGCCCUUGACUUUGGGAUAACUUCAGGAAACUGGGGCUAAUACCGGAUAGGAGCUCCUGCUGCAUGGUGGGGGUUGGAAAGUUUCGGCGGUUGGGGAUGGACUCGCGGCUUAUCAGCUUGUUGGUGGGGUAGUGGCUUACCAAGGCUUUGACGGGUAGCCGGCCUGAGAGGGUGACCGGCCACAUUGGGACUGAGAUACGGCCCAGAAUCCUACGGGAGGCAGCAGGGGGGAAUAUUGCACAAUGGGCGGAAGCCUGAUGCAGCAACGCCGCGUGCGGGAUGACGGCCUUCGGGUUGUAAACCGCUGUCGCCUGUGACGAAGCGUGAGUGACGGUAAUGGGUAAAGAAGCACCGGCUAACUACGUG
rnacentral:rRNA from 1 species